ACAAAAUGGCGACACGUGGUUAGCAUUCGUCGCCAACGAGAAAUUGGGGUCGGCCCGAAAGCUCUAGAAUGCACCCCUCUUCCUCCCCGGGGCCUUCCACCUCCGCGAGUUUUAUGACUUAAAAAAGCCCACAGGCUGGUCUGAAGGUCGGAGGCCUAAUUUUAACGCGUUUUCCUCCCUUUAAUUUGAAACGGGAACGCGAAUGACUGUAAAAUAGGAAGACAAACAUAAAGAUGAAGUGCUUAAUUCAAGGUCACACAAUGUCGGGGAUGGACCUCCAGAUUUCCUUACUGACCUGCAUUAUCUUGUGGAUACCUGAGUGAAUUCCACACCACCCAUUUUAUAGAUGAAACCACUGAGACAUGGAGCAAUUGACUGAGUAGUCACUGCCCCACCCCUGCCUGGAGCCUCACACAUGACUCGCCUCCUCUCAGUGACCACAGGUGAGACGUGGUCUUGUAACACAGUGGUUAAGAAUGUGACUUUGGAGCCAGCCUGCUAGGGGCUGAAUUCUGACUCAGCCAUUUACUAACUGUGUGACCUUAGGGAGGAGGACCUGGUUGAUAGAAGAAUUUAUCUCGUAGUCUUAACAUCCACUGUAAUUCCAAACUUUGAGGACGAUAGAGAUCAGUGGGCUUUGACUGCCCAGCAUGCAGUCUCCAUU
rnacentral:lncRNA from 1 species